rnacentral:rRNA from 1 species
GACGAACCGUGCAAACGUUGUUCGGAUUCACUGGGCUUAAAGGGCGCGUAGGCGGGUGGUCAAGUCAGGGGUGAAAUCUUUCAGCUCAACUGGAAAACAGCUUCUGAUACUGGCCGUCUUGAGGGAGGUAGGGGCAUGUGGAACUUCCGGUGGAGCGGUGAAAUGCGUAGAUAUCGGAAGGAACGCCGGUGGCGAAAGCGACGUGCUGGACCUUUUCUGACGCUGAGGCGCGAAAGCCAGGGGAGCAAACGGG